CAGGCAGCACAGUUGUUAGAGCGCGAGACUCUUAAUCCCAGGGUUGUGGGUUCGAGCCCCACAUUGCGUGAAAGA